rnacentral:rRNA from 1 species
AUACGUAGGGGGCGAGCGUUGUCCGGAAUGAUUGGGCGUAAAGGGCGCGUAGGCGGCGCGGUAAGUCUGGAGUGAAAGUCCUGCUUUCAAGGUGGGAAUUGCUUUGGAUACUGCCGCGCUUGAGUGCAGGAGAGGUUAUCGGAAUUCCCGGUGUAGCGGUGAAAUGCGUAGAGAUCGGGAGGAACACCAGUGGCGAAGGCGGGUAACUGGACUGCAACUGACGCUGAGGCGCGAAAGUGUGGGGAGCAAACAGGAUUAGAUACCCUGGUAGUCCACACUGUAAACGAUGAAUGCUAGGUGUAAGAGGUAUCGACCCCCUUUGUGCCGGAGUCAACACAAUAAGCAUUCCGCCUGGGGAGUACGGCCGCAAGGUUGAAACUCAAAGGAAUUGACGGGG